CGCUCUCAAGUGCAGACGGUUCGCGUGCUCAACACAAACCAGCAUUACAAUAUGCCAUAAUUCCAGCCAAUCAGAGAUGAGGCUGCUAAAUUCUGAUUGGCUGGCUGGACAACCAAUCACAAGACUCCCUGCAUCACCGACGGCGGAAGAGGAAAAAUACAUGGUGGAAGAGAUAUUUGUUUAAUGGCUUGAAAACUUCAAUUUAAGUUUAAAUGUCAACCACUCGACGACCACACAAUCGCCACGUCAGUGACGUCACACGUAACGUCAACUGAAAAAAGUUCCUGCAGUACGAUCGAGACCGCUGACACUGCCAUCAAUUUGAACACAAUUCGAAUAAAGCAAACAGGUUGAAGUACAAGGCUUAAAAAGAUGGCUUAUCUAAAAGCAUGGCGAAAAAGGAAGGCAGAAAUGGAUCUGUUACUGCAUUCUGACACUGAUGAUGACCAUGAAAGUCAGAGAUCAGUGACCGAUAGAUCAGCCUGUGGAUUACAUAACAACCAGGCAGACACUACAAGCAGUUUUGAAAGUAUUAAUUCGGCAACUGACAGUUUGACAACAUAUGAGUCAGACUUUGACACUGAUGUGGAGCAUGUGUCUUCUGACUCAGAAAAAGAAGUUCUAAAUGAUGAUGCUGAAUUGGAUUUUCCUGAUUUAGAAGGGAACUUAAGACAAUGGUCUACAAAGAACAAAACCACACAAAGAUCCUUAAAUGAAUUAUUGGCAAUAUUAAGAAAGCAAGGACACCUGCUGCCGAAGGAUGCAAGGACACUCCUUGCUACACCACGAGCCGUAGGAUCUGAGCCGAAAUGUAGUGGGAAAAGGGGAUUUGUCGUUUACUAAGUCAGACAACGUCUUUCACACAUGAUCAUCAUUCAGUAAACCUCAGCAUCAAUAUUGAUGGUGUCCCACUCUUUAAAAGCAGCAAAGUCCAGUUCUGGCCAAUAUUGGCGAAGUUUCACAACUUUGAGCCAUUUAUGGUUGCUCUCUUUUGUGGGGACAACAAACCAUAUCCUCUUGAGGAAUAUCUUGAUGACUUUUUGAUGGAGUGUAAACAUCUCACAGAGAAUGGGCUGAUUCAUGAAGAGAAGACCUACACUGUUCAUGUUAAAGCAUUGAUCUGCGACGCACCAGCAAGAGCUUAUCUGAAGCGCAUUAAAAAUCAUAAUGCCUGUCACAGUUGUGAGAGGUGCAUCACCAAAGGUGCUUACAUCACAAGAAGAGUGGUAUUUAAUGAACAGGGAUGCACCUUGCGAACAGAUGAAGCUUUCAGUGCAGUAGCCCAUUCAUUGCUGCAGGACUGUCUUGUGUUAGCUCUUUUGUCUUAGACUAUAUGCAUAUGGUCAACUUGGGAGUGGUUCGACGGAUACUAAUAUUCUUGACUCGGGGCCCAACACUUUGCCGCUUAUCUGUAAGGCAAAGGCAAGAAAUAUCACAAAAGCUAAACAGACUGCGAGGAAAGAUGCCUAGUGAAUUUGCUCGGCAGCCCCGGGGUUUAGAAGACCUGGACAGGUGGAAGGCCACAGAAUUUCGGCAGUUUUUGUUGUAUACAGGACCAGUUGUGCUAAAGAACGUGUUAUCUCCCGAAAGAUACUACCAUUUCCUGUCCUUGACAGUAGCUAUGUCAAUUAUGUUGGAGUCAGAUGAGAGCACUCGCAAUUCAUACCUUCAGUAUGCCCAUGAACUCAUGUCGCACUUUGUCAUGCGCUGUGCUGACCUGUACGGAAAGUAUUUUUCAGUUUACAAUGUACAUGGACUGAUUCACCUUCAUGAGGACGUGCGUCACUUCAAUUGCUCGCUGAAUGAUAUUUCUGGUUUUCCUUUUGAAAACCAUCUCCAACAAAUCAAGAAACAUGUACGGAGUGGGAAGAAUCCCCUAGCACAGGUGACCAGGCGAUUGUCAGAGAUUGAAUAUGCAAACGCCAAAACACAGCCUGAAGCACGACCUCGAAUGUUUCUUUCUACAAAGGAAAAGGACAGUUGUUUUCUCCUGCGAGAUGAAAAAUUUGCUUUCAUCAGAGAAAGAAGAGGAGAUGGGAUUGUGGUAUGUGAUGUCCUGCACCAGCGUUACACAUCACCAUUGUUUGAGAAGCCAUGCAACUCCAAACUUCUCAAUAUAGUGUACACAAGAAAUGGGCAAGGCAGGAUGAAAAGACGACAACUGCUUGAAGCUGAUCUGUUCCGCAAGGUGGCCUGCCUCCCUCAUGAAAAUGGUGGUUCUGUUCUCAUACCUCUCCUCCAUGGUAUAGAACACAGAAUUUGAAGAUCAUGUAUGCCAGAGCUGUGUGGUUGGAGUAUGGUAAAGAAGUGGAGGGAACUGCGCCAGACAACUGGAUUGAUGCUGAAAAAAAAAAAUCAUUAGAUGGCCUAAAAAAGGGGAAAAGGCAGCUUUCCUCAAUAGGCACUCCCCUCAGGAUGACUGGAUGACAUUCACCUUGGUGAAGCGUAAAAUGACCUCUGUUAGCAUUCGUGAAUGCGAUGAUUAUGACAUGACGAGUCAUGUUGAGGAGGAAGAUGAGGAAGCAGUUCGGAGGAAAAAGACCAAACGCAACUUUGAUGACUAUGUUCUUGAAUCUUACGAUUUGGAGGAGGAAGAAGAGAACAUGACAGAUGCCAUUAUCAAGGUGCCCUCCUUUCCCAUUCCACCAUCAAAGGUGACAAAGUCCAUCCAGAUGGAGUCUGCUGGAUUUAACAAAAAGUUCACUGACUCUGGACACUCAAAUUUAGCCAGGUCUCACCAGACAGGUGUUGGGUCCAGGGACAGGUCAACAGGCAACCCUGGGCAUUUAAAUGUAAACCGAGCCAGCCAGUUGAAGGGUGCUGGGUCCAGUCAUCAGUCCAGCCACAGUGAUGUGUCCCAGCACAGUGACGGUUCCCAGUACAGCGGCGGGUCCCAUCACAGCAAACGGUACUGACACAGGAAGCAGUCCAGGCACAGUGACCAGUCCAGGGACAGCAACCAGAUGCGACAAGACCCUGGGCAUUUAAAUGUAAACCGAGCCAGCCAGUUGAAGGGUGCUGGGUCCAGUCAUCAGUCCAGCCACAGUGAUGUGUCCCAGCACAGUGACGGUUCCCAGUACAGCGGCGGGUCCCAUCACAGCAAACGGUACUGACACAGGAAGCAGUCCAGGCACAGUGACCAGUCCAGGGACAGCAACCAGAUGCG